rnacentral:misc_RNA from 1 species
UCGGCGACUGGCUUUCAGGUUGAUCGUGAUUAUUGCUUUCGGUUUGUUGUGGCCCGGCUCAUCUUCGCCCGCUGCCACCGCUGCAGCGGUCUUGAGCUUCGUUCUCGGGGUAGGAUGUUGGGCGGGGGCCCUUGCUUUUGGAGAGCAGAUGACCGGCAAUGGCCUGAACCGGUGGCAUGAGGGUGCGACCCUUUUGUUGAUUGCCUUUUUC